ACUACGAGACAAUAGAACUCCGAUAAUUUGAGCUGCGACUGUACAACCAACUUAGGAUUCAAAACUCAAGAUGUCGCCAGUGUCGCCUUUGUUGUUGUUACAAACGAGGCGAAGCCGAAAAGGGCGAAACAAAACUGUAGCUAAUUUAUACUUAUAUUCCUGUGAUUUCAAUUACCAAAUUGAAUUUCGUAUCAUGUUCUUCUAGAUGCAUACUGUCAGUGUCAGUCAUUCCAACAAGUUGACUUAGCGCUCAGUCAAUUUCCAUCCAUUAGGCCCAUCAUGCUGUCAAAAGCCUAAAACUUAUGUUUAAAGACCACAUGUAGUGGAAAACAAAUCUGCCGAGAUAAAGUGUGAACCAUAUAAGACUUUUCUGAAUCUUGCAAUUUUUGUGGCGCACCCUGCAACAGC
rnacentral:lncRNA from 1 species